GCACAACUUUUGGGAAUUUUGGGUCCUCAAUGCUCUUCAACUUUGUAUUUGUUUGGCUUUUUAACUAUUUUGAUCUGAGCGUCACUGAUGAGUCUUAUGUAGACGAAACGCGCGUCUGGCGUAUAAAAUUAUAAUCCUGGUACUUUUGAUAACUAUUUACACCACUGGGUCGAUGCCACUGCUGGUUGACGUUUCGUCCCCGAGGGUAUCACCAGCCCAGUAGUCA
rnacentral:lncRNA from 1 species